rnacentral:lncRNA from 1 species
AUGAAAACUGCAGGUAAACCCCAAGCCUCUCACCCAGCCUUCCUUGACUCUUACUGCACUGCCGCACGCAAAGAGGACAAACGUUACAUUGUAAUUGCUCAUCCCAUGCCAUGCAUCGGUUCAGGAAAGCCCGACAACAGCCCUUUUGGAGAGGUACUACUCUUAUUCCCUUGUCUCGGAGAGGAAAAGCGAGGCACAUGGCCAAGGUCACAGCUGGAACGGUGCAGACAUGACUGGACUCAGGCAGGAGGGACUGCAGAACCUCAUCUCUUACUGAUGUCACAAUACCUGCGCCCACGCAGAAGCAGAAUCCCUGGUCCCACCCAGGAUGGAAUGAGGAUGUUGCAGGGGAAGACAAGGCUGGGCCCCGCCCCCAUCUGAGAGAAAAUAUACAUACACGCAACAUGGGGCCAGACAGACACAGCCCAGAAGGAGGCAGACCUUCCCCUGGGGAUCUGAGAAGCGGUCACGGAGGACAUGGUGUUUCUUGAAAAACAAGUCGAAUUUUACUCUGCAAACGAAGACGGAGUGCGUGGCAGAGGAGAGGAGAGUGCAUUCCAGACAGGGAGCGUUUGACAUGUCGGGAUCAUGAGAAAAACACAAAGGGUUAAAGACCCGGUUUUGCCGCCAUCAUUAAAAUUUAUACAACGCGUGUGUUGCGAGAACACAAAGUUCAACAGGGACAAAGGCCAUCAGUCAGGUUCACUCUAAACAUUUUCGGCAGGGAGUAGACUAAGAACCCAAGCACAGCGGCUACCCAGGACUCUACAUUCAUUCAUUUGUUCGUUCGUUCACUCAUUCACACGGUGGUUUAUUCACUCCGACAUUUAUCAAGCAUCUAUCGUGACGGUAAGCCAAGCCCCAUUCUAGGUGCUCAGCAUGCAAGCCUGAACCAAACAGUUCUCACCUCUGUGGACGGUAUGUUCUAUUAGGUGAGAAGAGCAAUAAGCCAAAUGAAAAGCCAACAAUAUGGGCUGUUAGAUGGGGAAAAAGCUCCAAAAAAGAAUAAAGGGGUGGGGGCUGGAGAACACGCUGUGUUGGGAGAAAGGUUCUAAUGUUGAGUAGGGAGAUCAGGGAGGGUCUCCCUGAGGAGGUGACAGCCGAGGACAGACCCCAGGGAGGUGAGGGAGGGAGGCCUGAGUGUGUGUGAGGGAAGAACAGUCUAGAGCGAGGGAACAGUCAGCACAAAGGCCCUUUGUCCGAGGGCACCCGGCAUGUCCCAGGCGGCGAGAACAGCGAGAGGCCUUUGUGGUGCGCGAGGGUGGGCAGCGCGGAGAACCAGUCAGGGAGAUGACAGGGGUCCGUGCCAUGCUGGCCUUCUUUGCUUUUCACUCGUAAGCGGGCUGGAAGGCCAAAGAAGCAUUCUGGGCACAGACAUGAUUAUGGGUUAUCGCGUCCCCCUCAAAACUCAGGUGUUUGAUUCCUAAUCCCAGUACCUCGCAAUGGGACAGCCUCUGGAGACAGGGUCUUUAUUUUUUUAUUUUUGUUUUUAAAAAAGAAUUUAUUUAUUUGACACAGAGAGAGAGACAGCGAGAGAGGGAACACAAGAGUGGGAGAGGGAGAAGCAGGUU